rnacentral:rRNA from 1 species
AUUGAACGCUGGCGGCAGGCCUAACACAUGCAAGUCGAGCGGGGUUUUCGGACCUAGCGGCGGACGGGUGAGUAAUGCGUAGGAAGCUACCCGAUAGAGGGGGAUACCAGUUGGAAACGACUGUUAAUACCGCAUAAUGUCUACGGACCAAAGUGUGGGACCUUCGGGCCACAUGCUAUCGGAUGCGCCUACGUGGGAUUAGCUAGUUGGUGAGGUAAUGGCUCACCAAGGCGACGAUCCCUAGCUGGGUUGAGGGGAUGAUCAGCCACACUGGAACUGAGACACGGUCCAGACUCCUACGGGAGGCAGCAGUGGGGAAUAUUGGACAAUGGGCGCAAGCCUGAUCCAGCCAUGCCGCGUGUGUGAAGAAGGCCUUCGGGUUGUAAAGCACUUUCAGUAGGGAAGAAGGGUUAAGUGUUAAUAGUACUUAACUUUGACGUUACCUACAGAAGAAGCACCGGCUAACUCUGUGCCAGCCGCCGCCGUAAAAC